AUCCAUCUGACGAGUCCCAAAUAGGACAGAACAUGCGUCCUACAU
rnacentral:hammerhead_ribozyme from 1 species